UCCUACGGGGGGCAGCAGUGGGGGAUAUUGGCCAAUGGGGGGAACCCUGAUCCAGCGACGCCGCGUGAGUGAAGAAGUAUCUCGGUAUGUAAAGCUCUAUCAGCAGGGAAGAAAGAAAUGACGGUACCUGAGUAAGAAGCCCCGGCUAACUACGUGCCAGCAGCCGCGGUAAUACGUAGGGGGCAAGCGUUAUCCGGAAUUACUGGGUGUAAAGGGAGCGUAGACGGUGAAGUAAGUCUGGCGUGAAAGGCGGGGGCCCAACCCCCGGACUGCUCUGGAAACUAUU
rnacentral:rRNA from 1 species